rnacentral:pre_miRNA from 1 species
AUAAUACUCCCUCCAUCCGGAAUUACUUGUCAUCAAAAUGGAUGUGUCUAGAACUAAAAUACAUCUAGAUACAUCCAUUUCACUGACAAGUAUUUUCGGACGGAGGAAGUAGUAG